rnacentral:rRNA from 1 species
GGAUCGCAGGCUGCAACCCGCCUGCGUGAAGUCGGAAUCGCUAGUAAUCGCGGAUCAGCAUGCCGCGGUGAAUACGUUCCCGGGCCUUGUACACACCGCCCGUCACACCAUGAGAGUCGGGAACACCCGAAGCCCGUAGCCUAACAGCAAUGAGGGCGCGGUCGAAGGUGGGUUCGAUAAUUGGGGUGAAGUCGUAACAAGGUACC